UCGUGGAGUGAUCUGUCUGCUUAAUUGCGUUUCAGAUAAUAUGGGGGUUUUAAGGUAUUUACGACGUACUGUAUGCUUCGGUAUGCUUACUUAGUAGCCUGCCCCUUUGAAAGCAACGAACGUGACCUCAAACCUAUGUUACCUCUUUUUUCUUUUCGUUUGUAUACA
rnacentral:rRNA from 1 species